rnacentral:rRNA from 1 species
UACGUAGGGUGCAAGCGUUAAUCGGAAUUACUGGGCGUAAAGCGUGCGCAGGCGGUUUUGUAAGACAGAGGUGAAAUCCCCGGGCUCAACCUGGGAACUGCCUUUGUGACUGCAAGGCUUGAGUGCGGCAGAGGGGGGUAGAAUUCCACGUGUAGCAGUGAAAUGCGUAGAGAUGUGGAGGAACACCGAUGGCGAAGGCAGCCCCCUGGGCUAACACUGACGCUCAGGCACGAAAGCGUGGGGAGCAAACAGG